GAGGAGGUGGCAGGCGGUGGCUGCCGGUGGCGGUGGCAUGCAGCAGUAAGCAGCAGCAGGGGGUGCGGGCAGGCAGGCAGAAGCAGGGGAUGCAGGCAAGGGCGGCAGGCGGCAGGCAAGUGGCUGGGGCAGCAGCUGGCGCGGGCAGCGGGCCCGGUGGUGGUAGGGGCAGUGUCAGCAGGCAGAGGGCUGCAGCGUGGGGCGGCGGCGGCGGCGGCGGUCGGCAGCGUCGUCUGCGACGGGCAACGGGUGUCAGUGGCGGCAGCCAGGGGCAGUGGCGGUAUGGCUGGGAGCAGAGGGACACGGGGGCAGCGGCGUCGUUAGAACCCUAGCAUGCUGCGUUUCCGAGGAAAAGGUGCCCGUCAUCCUGGUAUCCACGGGGGACAGAAGGGGCAGCCCAGGACCUGGAGGCCGAGCCGACUGCCAAGUCCUGCUUCCUCCCACUGGGGAGGCCAGAAUGACGGUCAAGAGACAGUGAUGACUGAGAGGUUGCCAGUGAAUUAAAGAAGUUACUGCCCAGCUGAAAGAGCCUGAGUAGACAGCAGCAGCGACCAUUUGUAGGAUCUCAAAAGACAGCUACGCGAAGGAACAUGCCCAGGGAUUUGGAAAACCGGGGUCCCAGUGCCAUCCUGUGGUCGGACAGACAAAAGACUUUGUGGCCUGCAAAGGACAGGUGCAGGAGAGCAGUUCCUCCAGGCGUGUUUCUUCUCCUUGUUCCACGUGCAUGCUUUUCACGCUGACUCUUCCUCGGGGCCAAUAUCGAACCUGCAGAUGGAGCCCGAGCUCCCUCCUGGCUCACUUUCUCUGUGGACCUGUGGAGCAUCUGGAGCAUCUGGGUCGUGCUCAGACUGUCCUGCUGUGCACUUAUGGGAAACAGCAGGUGGAGUGGUAUGAGAUCACGAGUGGCGUGUGGUUUGGGGCAGCUCUUACAAGAGGCCUACGGUUUAUUGUUGGACGUGUCUUCAGGUCUUCGGGUGCAGGGUUUCCUGCAGGACCCAUCUGUGGCAUGAAGAAAGUGAAGCUUUCAUGGAACCCUGGGGCUGAAUGAAGGUUACAUUCCUAGUGUCACUAGGGCCCCUUUCCUGACCACCCUAUUCUAUGAAUGCCGGGUCUUCCUCCUGCUUGGCUGUCCCUUCCCCGGCCUCUCCGAGUACCCUCAACAUGCCCUUCUCUGUGGAGUAGUCUUUGCAAACGUGUGUGUUGCAGGUGGCGUGGCAGAGACUAUGUGCUCCUGACCCACAUGGGAAGUGACUUUGCAAAGUCCACACACUGUGGGCAGGGCAUGGGUGAGUUGGGAAAAGACAGGGUGGGCUUCCCCUGAGGAUCUUGCCUACAGGCUGAGCAGAAUCAAUAGAACCUGAAACUCACAUGGAGAAAUGAUGCCAGGAGGUGACCCCCUACUUCCCCCAAGGCUUCAGGAGGCUCAGAGGGUCCAAGGCGUGGGGCAGCUCCCAAGUGAGUGGCAGUCCUACAUGUGACAGCUUGGUACGGGGGCCUACUAUGUGCCCACAGGGAUGCACAGCUGGGUGAGGUGAGCUGUUCUGCUCACAUUAGCCCGGGGGCCGGUCUUGUUCACUCAUUCCUCAGAUGCGUGAAGUGGCCAUUGGACCACCACCACUCACUCAUCCCAAUUAGUGAUAUUCUGAAGGAAGCACUCUACUGAGUUAUGCAGGUUUGGAGGGCAGGCCUGGGUCCUGCAGAGCGAGGGGAUCAAGAACACCCAGGGCCCUUUUCCAGGAGAGCACAGUGCAUACACCUUCUGGGAGCCGGUCCCUACAGGUACCCACUGCCCUCCCUCCAAGGACAGCAGCUGCUGGAGGGUAAAGCCCGACCAGCACAGGAAGUUGUACGGAUCAGGGUGAGGUUCCCUGUGGAAUGUGCUCGGGGCAUCCUAGAGCCUGCGGGGACUAGGAACUUCCUCUUGUCUCCUCUUUGUGCUCAGGCGCUGGGGCAGCAUCCCAGGUUUCGUGCGGUUUCCUGAGGUGCCAACAAGUGAGUCAGGGAAGCGAUGGAGAACAUGUGUGCGUGUGUGCCUUCCCCAUUUCCUGCCAAACUCACCCCAUUCAUAAGUCCAUCUCUUCUGAUUGAGAGAUGGCUUCCUUUGUUUUUUCUUCCAAGUUGCUUGAAGGGAAGCAUCCUGAGGGCUGCAAGGAAGAGCAGAAUCAGGCAUAACCAUCUUUCCAGUCAGGAAACACCCAAGUGGGGAGUUCCAGUCCCCGUCUCCCUUUCCUGACGCCCC